UUUGUAAUUCACUUUCAUUACCAAGUCUCCAGUCAUCAGUCACACACAGCUCACAAACUGGCUCUGGGCAGGAAGUCUAGGGGCCCUCCCCUCAAGUUUCGGCUUGUUCGUCAGAAUGACUCUAGAGCCAGAACUGUAAAAACAGAAAGAGCUGAGAUGAUGGAUUUCCAGAGAAGAAAACACUACAAGAGAUGUUUACAGGAGACCACCCAUACUCAGGAUUCUCUAAGAUGAAGGAACCACAUCCUCCCAUUUUGAUCCACAAGAAAGAACCAAACAUUUUCAAAGGCUAAGAAAAAGGGUUUAUUGUAAUUGUCCCUAGUGAGUAACAUUGCUAGAUGUAUCCACCACUCUCAAUAGGCUGAUAGUAAGAAUUCAGGCAGAAUGAUUCCUGGUUAGUAUUGACAAAAAAAAAAGCCAAAACACCCUGCUCACUCCCCAUCUUUUGAUUCCCUUUCCUUCUUGCUUGUCUUAACUGUCCCAGUUCCCUUUUCUGUUCUUGAUCCUGACUUUUACUCUCAUAAUUUAGUGCCUACUGGGGGGAGAUAUGUAUGGUGAAUUACAAACCUCAUGCUUGGGGCAAAAGCCGAUUGCCUUAGGGAGUCAGGAAGGAAUUUUUUCCACCAUCUACACAAAAUUGGCCUAAAGUGUGAUG